rnacentral:rRNA from 1 species
UACGUAGGGAGCAAGCGUUGUCCGGAAUCAUUGGGCGUAAAGCGCGCGUAGGCGGCCCUGUAAGUCCGCUGUGAAAGUCAAAGGCUCAACCUUUGAAAGCCGGUGGAUACUGCAGGGCUAGAGUCCGGAAGAGGCGAGUGGAAUUCCUGGUGUAGCGGUGGAAUGCGCAGAUAUCAGGAGGAACACCGGUGGCGAAGGCGGCGUCCUGGACCAACACUGACACUGAUGAGCGAAAGCCAGGGGAGCAAACGGG